rnacentral:tRNA from 1 species
GGUGAGGUUCCCGAGUGGCCAAAGGGAUCAGACUGUAAAUCUGACGCGCAAGCUUCGGUGGUUCGAAUCCACCUCUCACCACCA